GUUUUGCUCAUUUCCAUUUUUCUCUCUCCCGUGGAGUCUGGAAAGCUUUCCAAGUGUUUUGCUUUUUUCCAUGUCUCUCGCUCCGGUGGAGUUUGGAAGUGUGCAUUCCCAAGCCUUUUUGCUUUCUAUUUUAUCUUUCCAUUUCUCUCUCUCCCGUGCUUUCUAGAGCUGGUGCUCUGGGAGGAGUAGCGAUUCGGCGGUUGAAGAUGCGAAGGAAGGCACCACACUAAGUAAGGUUGCGUGAAUGGAAAGCAUUUUAGAGAGUGUCAUGGGGGCACAAAAAAAGUUUUAUUUUUGUUGAUAGAGGGUUUUACUCGAUUGAAACGUCGCUGCUUCUGCUCGCUCUUAAGGACCCAACUGAGCAUACUGCUAUUGGCAACUUAAUGGUUCAACAGCUUGAUGGAACUGUUAACGAAUGAGGUUGGUGCAAGCAAAAGGUGCUUAGCUGGUGGAACUGUUAUUCCACGUUACCACGGGUUUGAAUAAUCAUUUUGUUUGUGAAUGCAUGUUUGGAUUUCCUUUUAUUUUUUUCCAAUUAUAUAGGUAACCCUUAAAUUUUCCCUUCAGUUUAUGCAUGUUUGGAUUUCCUUUUAUUUUUUCCAAUUAUAUAGGUAACCCUUAAAUUUUCCCUUCAGUUUUUUGAGUUUAUAUAUGUAUUCCCUGAAUCGAUCUAGCAUGAAUAGCUUUCUAAGGGUACUCUUCUCGGGAUGAGGCAAACCAUUUUUGAGUUUAUAUUUGAUUCCCUGAAUCAAAGGUACCCUUCCUUCAGUUUUUUGAGUUUAUAUAUGUAUUCCCUUUUGUGAUCACAACAAUUUGGUGCUGUCAAGUGGGUUGGUGUUCUUUUUCUCAGGGGAUUGCAACAGCCGUAGACGUUUCAACACAUAGAUUGCUAACCAAGAUAGCAUUGCUGGAAUUUCUCGCAUGAGAUUUGUCUGCACAACUCCAGGAUCCGCAACACUAAUAUGCAACAAUAGGGAAACUGAAUGUAAAAGAGAAACCUUCCCAACUGGAUUCCAAUGCUCUAUGUAUUCAGAGGAUGCAGUUCAUGAUGGAACUAGAGAUUGACCUUCUAGCUUUGGAUCAACCGGAGAGCGGCUGCAAACGUAUUUUUCGGGCUGGAAUCUCUUAAUGAUUUUCUCACCCAAGCUGCAACUCAUAGAGCUUUCGAGAGCAUCACUCCUUAUUGUGCUGCUGCCUUUAAAUCUCACUGUUAUGGUUGACUGGCUCCCAACCAACGGUAAUUUGUAAGUAUGUCAGACCAUGGGUUUCUUCGGUGGUGAUUGGAAAUAUUUGGUGAGUUGGAAAACCAGCCCUUCAUUCUUUUAAUGAGAAGGAUGCAGAGGAAAAUUAUCCCCCGGAACAAAAGGAUCAAAACCUUACACGCCCCAAUCAGGGUUUAUGGAUUGUAUCCUUCCGUCCAUGAGGAUCGGACACCCAUAUUCCAGGACCAUACAAUCCUGUUACAUGAAAUGCAUUUCUAAUGCCCAAAGUUUGAAUAAAUAACAUCAUUAUGAUAGUUUGGCCUCUUCACUUUCUUUGUAUUGUAGUACCCUUUCUUGAGUGCUUUGAUUUUGGAGGAUAUUUAAUCUCCAUUUAUUAUUACCUGUUAUGUCCUUGGUACUUUAUUUUUGUUUUGAAUUAUUUAAAAAAAUCUUCAAGUUAAGCAGCAUUUACAUAUA